rnacentral:rRNA from 1 species
UACGUAGGGGGCAAGCGUUGUCCGGAUUUAUUGGGCGUAAAGAGCGUGUAGGCGGCUUGGAAGGUCAGCUGUGAAAACUCGAGGCUCAACCUCGAGACGUCGGUUGAAACCACCUGGCUAGAGUCCGGAAGAGGAGAGUGGAAUUCCCGGUGUAGCGGUGAAAUGCGCAGAUAUCGGGAAGAGCACCCGUGGCGAAGGCGGCUCUCUGGGACGGUACUGACGCUGAGACGCGAAAGCGUGGGGAGCGAACAGG